UGGCGAACGGGUGAGUAAUAUAUCGGAACGUGCCCAGUCGUGGGGGAUAACGUAGAGAAAUUUACGCUAAUACCGCAUACGAUCUAAGGAUGAAAGCGGGGGAUUCGCAAGAACCUCGCGCGAUUGGAGCGGCUGAUAUCAGAUUAGGUUGUUGGUGAGGUAAAAGCUCACCAAGCCGACGAUCUGUAGCUGGUUUGAGAGAACGACCAGCCACACUGGGACUGAGACACGGCCCAGACUCCUACGGGAGGCAGCAGUGGGGAAUUUUGGACAAUGGGCGAAAGCCUGAUCCAGCAAUGCCGCGUGCAGGAAGAAGGCCUUCGGGUUGUAAACUGCUUUUGUACGGAACGAAACGGUCUGCCUUAAUACGGUGGGCUAAUGACGGUACCUAAGGAAUAAGCAUCGGCUAACUCCGUGCCAGCAGCCGCGGUAAUACGGAGGAUGCAAGCGUUAUCCGGAAUGAUUGGGCGUAAAGCGUCCGCAGG
rnacentral:rRNA from 1 species